rnacentral:rRNA from 1 species
UACAGAGGGGGCAAGCGUUGUCCGGAAUUACUGGGCGUACAGCGCGCGCAGGCGGUUGCCGACGGGCCGUGUGACAAACGGGGGCUCAACCCCCGAGGGCCACGGUAAACGGGGCGACUGGAGGAAGGGAGAGGGAUGUGGAAUGCCCGGUGGAGCGGUGAAAUGCGUAGAUAUCAGGAGGAACACCUGUGGUGUAGACAGCUUACUGGACCAUUUCUGACGCUGAGACACGAAAGCGUGGGUAGCAAACAGG